rnacentral:rRNA from 1 species
GACAGAGGUGCCGAGCGUUAGGCGGAAUCACUGGGCUUAAAGCGUGUGUAGGCGGAUUGGUAAGUACUUUGUGAAAUCCCACGGCUUAACCGUGGAACUGCUUGGUAUACUGCCAGUCUUGAGCCAGCUAGGGGCUACCGGAACAAAUGGUGGAGCGGUGAAAUGCGUAGAUAUCAUUUGGAACGCCAAUGGUGAAAACAGGUAGCUGGGGCUGUGCUGACGCUGAGACACGAAAGCCAGGGGAGCAAACGGG